rnacentral:rRNA from 3 species
UGGCCCCAAGUCAGGCGAGGCCACCCGCC